GUGCCAGCAGCCGCGGUAAUACGUAGGUGGCAAGCGUUAUCCGGAAUUAUUGGGCGUAAAGCGCGCGUAGGCGGUUUUUUAAGUCUGAUGUGAAAGCCCACGGCUCAACCGUGGAGGGUCAUUGGAAACUGGAAUACUUGAGUGCAGAAGAGGAAAGUGGAAUUCCAUGUGUAGCGGUGAAAUGCGCAGAGAUAUGGAGGAACACCAGUGGCGAAGGCGACUUUCUGGUCUGUAACUGACGCUGAUGUGCGAAAGCGUGGGGAUCAAAC
rnacentral:rRNA from 1 species